GGGCAGGUGGGUGGGGCGAAGCUCCCCAAGCCCCCGGAAGUUGCUGCUGUUCCAGCAGCCUGGGGAUCGCGUCUCCUCGCCGUUUAAGGCUCGUCUUGGCUCUGCCGCUUGUCUUGUCGAUUUGUGACCUGACCGAAUUGUCGCACUGAACGCAUGAGUCGUAUGAAGGACGCCGGGGGACCCAGGAGCCCUAGAAAUGUUGUUGCAUGUGGGAUGCUGCCUCAGCGUGGUUUGAUGAGCAGUGCCAUGUCUGCGCCCAGGAUUCGAACCAAAGAAACACUGGGCCGCCUGCGGCAGAGCGCGUGAACUUAACCACUCAGCCAUGGGGCCAGCCCAGACACCUGAAUACUUGAUGACAUCAUCAGAGGCAUUUCAAACUGCAAAAGAUGCUUCAACUGUGACAUCUAGAAAUCUUUUUAACUGGCUGCUGCCUGGACUCAGAAACUGGUUUAUAAUUUGCUCCCACUAUUAACCUUGUUUUUCUUUUGUCUCUCUAGAAAUGUUUCUUAUUAAAUACCUGGUUAGUUGCUUACACAGUAUAGGCCUAAAUUGGGGAUCCCACCUGUAUCACUAUCUUACUAAAAGGCUAGUUCAGUGAGCUGGAACAACCUAUGCCCAUCAUCAACAAGGUGUCCCUCAAGAUUGAGGAAUGAAAAACAAAAGGAGGGGAUUGAUACUGGGUAAACACAAGGUUGACAUAGGGAAGCCAUGUUGUAGAAUAGAGACCAUAUUAUAACUUUGAAUGACCUCUAACUAACCCAUCUGGAUAUGCACCCUCCAGGAGAUCCACUUGCUCUCUAGGUUUUUUUGACCCUUGCUUGUACAUAUACCAACCAGCUAUGAUGAGAUGAUGACUUUGUUCUUUUGAGUUCCUUAGGAGUGUGAUGACCUCCAAACAGAGAGUCUAUUCUGAUAGCCAUCAUCAAUGGAAACUUGAAAGAUCUGGUGUGGCAACUCCUGGGUCAACAUUCCUAACCUCCUCCCCUAUAACCCACCAGCCUAUAUAACUCCUUCAAGAUUCUGUGACCCACCCCUUUAACAUGGUUCUUUUGGACAUUAGUCAGACAUCUUGCCUCUUGCUAGCAAGCUGUAAUAAAAUGCCCUUUCUCUGCCACCAUCUUGCCUCUUGACGAUCGGCUUUUAUCUCAUGGCAAGCAGAUUGUGUCCUUUGUGUGGUAACAUUAUUCCCUGGGGAGAGGAGAGUGUGUGGAGUUCAUUCCUGUGGCUGCUCAGGUGCCCUCCUCUCCUUCACCAGGGACUGACCCACUGCAGGGCUUCUGUCUAAACUGGGAGAGUCUAGAAUAUGGAACUUUCUGAAUGUGGCUUUCCUUUUGUCCUGUCGGAAGCAACCUGCUUAUCUGAGCUGAAUCCAGUAUUUGUGUUUCUUUCUUUCCUUUGGAUUCCUUUAUCAAUUGAAUAGUGUAGCCUUUUGGCUCUAGUUUCCCUUAGUACUUGGGCCCUGAGACUUUAAGUUGGUUGAGAGAUAGGAUGUGAGGAAAGCAAGACAUUUCUUUUGAUUUUUAGGUCAGUUUUUCUAUGUGCAUCUGUCUACAGAACAUAGACAUUUAAAAGGCUAAAGCAAUUAAAAUUCUAUUUUAAUUGACGUGAGGAAAACUCAAAGCUUACGUAAAUCUUUUAAAAUCCAAUGCAUUUAAGGGUUUAAACUCAAAUCCUGAUUGCAUUAUAAUAUGCCACUUAUUCCUUAAAAUACCCCCAGUGUGAGAUAUAGGGGAAAGACAAACUAGGAUGCUGCAUGUCCUUUUAGUUUGAAAGAGACUUGGAAAUUUUAUUUUGUAUGGUUUACCCUUUUGUAACUGUUAGUGUUUCUUAGAUUUCUUAUGUUGAAGAGAUAAAAUUAAAGAAUAUAAAUUUCUCUGUAUAUUUGAAAUAAAUCUGUAAAAUAGCACAGCCUAACUUAAGAAGAUUCACUGCCAACAUAUCCUGGUCCCCUCCAGCACUGUUACUUAAGUUACACCAAAUACACAGUUUUGAUCAUUUUGAGCCUCCUGUUAGUGUUUCUUUAUAUAAAUCAAGCAAUUGAGAACGCAUAUUUUUCUUACCCACUUUGUCCUUGUAAUGAGCCGUCAGACUCCACAUUUUUGAAUGCUCACAGCUUAAGCCUCACCCACCCACUUCCCCUUGUGCCCCCACCUGGACAAGCUGAGGAGGAAGCCUGGGUGCUCUCUCCUCUAGAGCAGGCAGGAGAUUCCCACCACCCCAGCCCCUGCCUCUGUGCAGAGCUCUUGCCCAGGCCCCAUCCCCAGGCCCAGUGAAACCCCAGGCCAGGCUCUAUUCCUUGCUUUCUGAGCCCUGUCAGAGCUGCUUGAGAAGCCGGCCCUGCCUUCUCCUCAGACCUCUAUUAUGUGACUCCUAACCCUUUUCCUACCAUGUGUGUUUCUGUGCCACCCUGGCAUCAGUCUCAACAAGGAAACCACCCCUCUGCAGUUGACCAUAGGCACCCUGAGCAGCAUGUCCAGACAUGACCCCACCCAUGGGUCUGUCUUCUCUUGCUCUGACUUGCUCCCCUGCUCUGCUGCCUGGUGGCAGCAUGCGCUGUGGGCUGCUGCUCACUGGGGAGCUCGUGCUGAGAGCUGUGCUGCCCCGUGUUGCUUUGUUGACCCACCAACCUCAGUUCUAGGUUCAGCUGAGCAGAGGUGGCAAUUUGAAGGAUGUAUAGGCACUUAGGAGCAGGACGCUGGGGUUGGGGCCUCCUUAAAUGAGUCGUGGGUCAGUGUCUGCCGGAAUUUAUCUGUGUGUGAGAGUGAAGCUUUGACAGAAGCUGUGUUGGCCUGACAUACCCUAGAGAUGGUGCUGCCACAGGGGGACUAUACUCUUUGCAAGAGAUGGGUCCAUCAGAUGGUCAGUAUUGAAAGGACAGUCAACUUAAAAGAGGGGGAAAGGCACCCCUACCACAAAAGUAGGGAGAAUCUCUUCAAAUUGUCAUAAAACCAAAACCCCUGUUAGUGCCCUUGGAGACUCCUUCACUAUAGAGGCCUCAGUGACCUUCUGUCAUGCCUCCUAGGGUACCCAUGAUGGCUUUAAAUUGUCCAUGGGCUUCUGAUGCAAGAACCUGCACUAGGCCUCACACUAUAUGUCAUUAGAGCUGCAAUGACCUCUGCUUACGAGUCUAUCCUGAAAGUAGUUGGCCCUGCGCAUGGGGCCAUGUAUUCAGCAGUCCAUUUUGACUUGGGAUGUGGAAGCAGCCCUCCAGGAGCUCAGCAUGGCUACUGAGACCCCCUGGAGACACGAUGGAGGCAAACCUGGGCCCUCUGGGAUAUCCUACCUGCAGGAGAGAGUGGUCUUCCCUGUCCUUAGUCUCCUGCCAGCUGCCAUGGUGUUGAAGGAGGUCUCCCCUUUCCCAGAAUCCCAGGCUGCAUGUGGAACUCCUUAGGACUUCCUGAAUGAAAAGCAAUGGGAGUACAUAGAUUUUAGUGACAACAGCACCACGCUUGUACAUGAUUUAGUUCAGCCAGAGUUGUUAUUUUUCGAUUGUUAAUUGUGACAUUUCUGAUGAAGGACUGGACCCAAGGGUCAUCACGCUGACCACACAUCAAGCAGACAUCUUAGCACUGACGAACAGUUGGCUCCAGCUGCAGACAUUACAGACUAUGGGUGAUUCCCUGAGAGUUGCCCUUUUGUGGUAAAAGAACUCUGGGAAUCUCUUGCCUCACAGUUACCUACAAUAUAAAUCAAGGUAACACUUGGAUGUUUUUGGUACCAGUCCUUUAUCAGAUAAGUGAUUUUCAAAGAUUUUUCUGCCAGUUUGUUGUUUCUGUUUUUAUUCUCUUAUACUGUUUCACCAAGUGGAAACUUUUUAUUUUAAUGAAGUCAAAGAUUUUUUUCUAUCUUUGAUCAUUCUUUUUAUGUUCUAUCUAAAAAUUAAUCACCAAAUCCAAGGUCACCUAGAUUUUCUGCUGUGUUAUCUUUUAGGAGUAUUGUAGGUAUACAUUUUAUACUAAGAUCUAUGGCUCAUUUUGAAUUAAUUUUUGUGAAAAAUGUAAAGUCCAUGUCUAGAUUCUUUUUUUGCCUGGGGAUGGCUAGUUUUUUUCAUAUUAUUUGUGGAAAAGACUAUGUUUUCCUAUUGAGUAGCCUUUGGUCCCCUGUCAGAGAUGAGUUCACUAUAUCUGUGUAUCUACAGGAAAGCAAUUUGACUUUUCUAUGUUAACAUUUUAUCUUUCAGCCUUCCUCUACACUCUUAGUUCAAGGGGUUUCUUUAUUUUUGGGGAUUCUUUGAGGUUUUCUUCAUAGACAAUCUUGUACCACAAGGACAGUUUUAUUUCCUGCUUCCCCAUAAAUACACCUUUUAUUUUCUUUUCCUGUCUAGUUGCAUUAACUAAGAAUUCUAGUCCUAGUUUGACUACAAGUGGCGGGAGGAGACAUCCUUGCUGCCUUCUUGAUGUUAUCAGAAAGCAUCUAGUUCCUUCAGUGCAGUCCACUAAUAUUAAAGAAGAGCCCAGUUGAUGUAGAGGUAGGUGUGGCCUGAGGGGGGGCAUUCUGUAGUCCAAUGAUUGUGUCUCAAUCUUUUGGUGAGCCUGUGUCCCUGGGCUUGUCCUGUGAUAUAAUAAAAAUAGUUUUUCCUUUGUCCUCAGUUCCUAGCAAAAACCUCUUGAGGCCCUUGGAAUUCCUUGAGUCAUGAGGGUGAUAGAGUGUCUUUUGUUUUAAUGAGGCAACUCUUGGCCGGCUCCUAGAUGGCUUCAGGAUGGGGGUUGGGUACCAGAAACACCAAGCCUUGAUUAGAGGCUUGAAACAUUCAGUGCCAGCUCCCAGCCUCUGUGCAGAGGAGAGGGGCUGGAGACUGAGUUGACAAAGGGCCAAUGGCCAGUGAUUUAAUAAUUUGUGCCCAUGUAAUGAAAUCACCAUCAAAAUGGUUAAAGAGAAUUCAGAGAGUUUCUGCAUUGGUGAACACAUGCAGGUGCUGGGAGGGUGGAGUGUCCAGAGGAUGUGGAAUCUCUGCAGCCUCCUCCACCUCCACUCCCCUCACCCAUACCACUGCCCUGUGUUGCCCUAUGCAUCUCUACCUUUUGUCUGUUCCUGAGUUGUAUCCUUUUUAUAAACCAAUAAUAUUGAGUAAAGAAGUUUGCUGAGGGGCUGGCCCCGUGGCCGAGUGGUUAAGUUCGCAUGCUCUGCCGCAGGCGGCCCAGUGUUUCUUUGGUUCGAAUCCUGGACGCGGACAUAGCACUGCUCAUCAAGCCACGCUGAGGCAGCGUCCCACAUGCCACAACUAGAAGGACCCACAACGAAGAAUAUACAACUAUGUACUGGGGGGGCUUUGGGAAGAAAAAGGAAAAAAAAAUCUUAAAAAAAAAAAGAAGUUUGCUGAGUCCUCAGAAUCAUUUCAGUAAGUUACCAAAUGUUAUAAGGGGUGUUGAGAGAAUAUAUGAAUCUGUGGAAGGCUGAGUGGAAAUGCUGUCAGCCUGGGCACCCCAUUUGUGGUUGGCAUCUAAGGAAGGGGCAGUUUGUGAGACUGAACUCUUAAUCUGUGGACUGAUGUGAACUCUGGGUAGUUAGUGUUAGAAUUGAAUUGAACUGUUGCACAGCUUGUUGGUAAUGUGGAAUUGAAGUUUCAUUGGAACAGACACCAAAUAUUUGGUCUCAGGAAUGAACAAAACCCUACCAUCCUCUCAAUUACCCCACCUCUCAAAGCAGAAAAGGCUCAAGUUGGCUAUUGCAGUGCCCCUGGUCAGUUAGGCUUGGGAAAAUCUUAGUCAGUGCUCUUGUGAAAUAGAUUGUUUUUAGCACAUGACUUGCUAAGACCAGAAUAUUUGGGAUAUUUUUUGAAUUGUACAUAUUUGUCUCUAUAAUUGUGGAGACCUUGGUUUACCCUGUGAUCUCAGUUCUCUGAUGCAAGAAUUGUUGAUUUCAGUUUUUUUUGCUUUUUUCAUUUGAGUACUGGAAUCUGGUUUCUGAGCGCCUUGCGUGACAGACCAGAGACUAGAAGUCUCUUGACUCCUUUUUUCCAGGUUUAUUGAGAAAAAAUUGACAUGCAUGACUGUAUAAAUGAAAGGUGUACAGCAUGAUGGACUGAUUUACAUAUAUUGUGAAAUGGUUACCACAAAUUCAGUUAACAUUCAUCUCAUAUCGAUAAAAUAAAAAGAAAAGGAGGAAGAAUAAAGAAAUAAAUUUUCUCUAUGUAAUGAGAACUCUUAGGAUUUACUCUCUUAAUUGCUUUCCUAUGCAUUAUAUAUCAGUAUUAGUUAUAGUUGUCUUGUUGUACAUUACAUCCUAGCACUUAUUUAUCUUAUAACUGGAAGUUUGUGCCUUUUGACUCCAGUUGCCCAACCCCUCCACCCCCAUCUCUGGUGACCACAAGUGUCAUCUCUUCUAUGAGUUUUUUUUUGGUUCCACAUAUAACUGAGAUCAUAAAAUAUCUGUCUGUCUCUAACUCUUCUCUCUUAGCAUAAUGCGUUCAAGUUUCAUCCCUGUUUUUACAAAUCAUAGGAUUUCCUUGUUUUUUUUUUUUUUAUGGCUGAAUAGUACUGGAUUGUUUAUAUAUAUACCACAACUUGUGUAUCCAUUAGUCCAAUGAUGGAUGUUUAUCUUCUCUGUGGUAGGCAGGGCCCUCAGUGAGUGGGAUAAGUGAUUGAUCAAUCACUUAUCCCACCGUCUAAUACAUCUUUUUUUUUUAAAGAUUGGCAUCUGAGCUAACGUCUGUUGCCAAUUUUCUCUUUUUUCUUAUUCUUCUCCCCAAAGCUCCCCAGUACAUAGUUGUAUAUUCUAGUUGUAUGUCCUUCUGGCUCUACUAUGUGGGAUGCUGCCUCAGCGUGGCUUGAUGAGCAGUGCUAGGGCUGUGCCCAGGAUCCGAACUGGUGAAACCCUGGGCCACUCAAGCAAAGCAUGCGAACUCAACCACUCGGCCAUGGGCCUGUCCCUCUAAUUUAUGUUUUCUUAGCAGUGUACAGAUGAUGUGAUUCUAUAAUUACUAGUGUCUCAUUUGAUACCCUGCCCCCAUCCUUCUUCCCAUGAUGCAAAUGAGGAAAGUCAAGCACGUAGUAAAAUUAAAAUUUUAAAAAUUAGUAAAAGUAAAAUUCACGUAGCUCCUACCAGUGGAAACUCUUAGUUUUUUUUCUUUUUCUUUUUUUUUUUUUUUGAGGAAGAUUAGCCCUGAGCUAACAUCUGCCACCAAACCUCUUUUUGCUGUGAGGAAGAUUGGCCCUGAGCUAACAUCCGGACCCACCUUCCUCUAUUUUAUGUGUGGGACACCUGCCACAGCAUGGCUUGACAAGGGGUGCAUGUGUCCGCACCCGGGAUCUGAACCAGCAAACCCUGGGCUGCCAAAGUGGAACUUGGAAACUUAACUGCUGCACCACCGGGCUCGCCCCAGAAGCUCUUAGUUUUGAAGGCAUAAUAUGUGUCCUUCUGGGCAACGUCAAAAAUUUCACUCACAAGAACACUGAAGUUUUGUAUAAUUACGCCCCUUUACAAAUGUUGCCUCAAAGUUUCCAAACAGGACUCAGAGGGCAACGUGGUGUUCCACUUAUAUGACAUUCUGGAAAAGGCAAAAGUAUAGGAACGUAAAACUGAUCAGUUGUUAAGGGUGGGAGGUUUCAGCACAAAUGGGCCUCAUGAGAGUGUUUCUUUGAGGUGAUGGAGUGAUCUCCAUCCUGAUGGUGAUAUAACUGUACAUUUGUGGAAACUCACAACUUCUGAUGCCUGAGUCUAACAGGGUGGCCUGUUUGAUCUAGGACAGAAUGCACUAACUCUGCAGCAGACUCCAUCAUGUGUGGUGGUGGCACACUAUCCAUAAAGUACAUGGACUGCCUGUCAUUUGUGUGCUCCCAAGGACUCCCCAAGUGGCCAGUGUGUCUAGAGAGGAGGUGAACUCCUCCUGAACUGACUGCAUUCAUCAGAGAACAGAAGAACACACCUCAUCUUGUAGGUCAGGAACUGCUUGGAUGUGGAUGUGAGCAGAGAGCAGGAAUAUCGAAAGCUCUACUUCCCUGUGAUUAAUAAUUAAGAUUCCUCAUAAAUAAAUACGCAUGGUUCAUUUUUGCAGUCAUUAAGUCUUUUCUGUAUAUAACGUCUGAUCAUGAGUUUCAACCCAAGUAUCUGGGACUUGAGACUUCCCAUUGAUUUGGGCCACAAAAGUUUGUGGUGUCUUUUGUGUUUAAAGUCAUUUGAGAGGAUUAUAAUAUGUUUAAAUAUUUUAAAUUGUAAUAUCUUUGGCAUUUUCAUUUUGCUGCUAUUCAGACUGACACAACAUAUACCCCUUUAAGCCGUGGAGAUCCUCCCAACUGAGCAAGAGCUGCCCUCACCUGCACUGUUGUAACCCACCUGAGUUUAUUCUAUGAGGACAGUGAUAACUGUGCGUGUCCAGUGUGAUUUCUCAGUGGAAACCCCAAAAAGAGCUAUGGAUGUUUA
rnacentral:lncRNA from 1 species